CAUGCCCAGUUUAGGGUCACGGUGCCCAGUUUGGGGUCAGGGUGCUCAGUUGGGGUGCCCAGUUUGGGGUCACCAUGGCUGAGUGUCCCAUGCCCAGUUUGGGGUCCAGGUGCCCAAUUUGGGGUCACUGUGGGUGUCCCAUGCCCAGUUUGGGGUCAGGAUGCCCAGCCUGGCUGCCCAGUUGGGAUGCCCAGUUGCUUGGCCCCAGUGCCGUACUGGUGUCACUCAGUGCCUGGUGUGGGACUGGGCUGUGUGGGCACCCUUGGGGUGAGCACGGGUGCCCUAUGGGGUGCCCGUGUGUUCCCUAUGGGGUGCUCUAUAGGGUGCCCUAUGGGCUGCCCUGCAGGUUACCUGUGGAGUUCUCUAUGGGGUUCCCUGUGGGUUCUCUAUGGGGUUCCCGUGUGCUCUCUAUGGGGUUCCCAAUAUGUUCCUUAUGGAGUGCCCUAUAUUGUGUCCUAUAGAAUCCCCUAUAGGGUACCUUGUAUUUUCCCUAUGGGGUUCCCUAUGGGAUGCCCUGUGGGGUUCCCAGUGUGGUCCCUAUGGGGCUCCCCGUGGGGUUCGCAGUGGGGUGGCAGCGCGGUGUCCCCGCAGGGUGACGUACGUGUACUACGAGCAGUACCUGACGGUGGUGGCCGAGGGGCUGCUGACCGUGGCCAUGUGCCUGGCGCCCACCUUCCUCGUGUCCUUUGUGCUGCUGGGCAUGGACCUGCGCUCCAGCGCCGCCACCGUCAUCACCAUCGCCAUGAUCCUGCUGGACACCGUGGGGCUCAUGACGCUGUGGGGCAUCCCCUACAA
rnacentral:lncRNA from 1 species